rnacentral:rRNA from 1 species
AUGGAGCAGGCUAUGCUGGCUAGGGUUUUGGCCGUUACUAGCGUUGGUUUGUCGUGGGCAGUAGUGUGGAGCCUCUUGUCGCAACAGCUCAAGCCCUUCUCCACGCCCGCCAUCCUCAGGACCUUGGACGCCGCCGCCUCCGAUCCCGUCACCGGCCGCGACGACGACAUCGACCGCGUCAUCUGCAUCCUCUGCCGCCGCACCAAAAACUGCGCCGCCCUCGUCGGCCCCGCCGGCGUCGGCAAGACGGCCAUCGUCGAGGGCCUCGCUCGGCGCAUCGCUGCGGGGGCGGUCCCCGAAGCCCUCGCCGGGGCCCGCGUGGCCGAGCUCGACGUCGGAGCCAUGGUCGCGGGGACCCACUGGCGCGGCAUGUUCGAGCAGCGCUUGAAGGAUGCCAUCAAGAAGGCCGAGGACUCCGCCGGCAAGCUCAUCCUCUUCAUCGACGAGAUGCACAUGAUUGUCGGUGCCGGCGAUCAGCGUGGUGGCACCGGCGACGCCGCCAACAUCCUCAAGCCCGCGUUGGCCCGUGGCCGCAUCCGUUGCAUAGGUGCCACCACAACCGAAGAGUACCGCAAAUACAUCCAGAAGGAUGCCGCGCUCGAGCGGCGCUUCCAAAGGGUUGACGUCAACGAGCCGACCGUCCAGGCAACCGUUGCCAUCCUGCAGGGGCUGAAGCAGCGCUACCAAGACUACCAUGGACUCACAAUUCGCGACGAUGCUCUGGUUGUUGCUGCGCACCUCGCCGGCCGUUAUAUUACAGGUCGCCAGUUUCCUGAUAAAGCAAUUGAUCUGAUGGACGAGGCAUGCACUUCCCUGAAGUUGCAUCAACCAAAACAAAUUAGAGAUAAGAAAACUAGCACUGUAAAUGCAGUGGAGGAGCUAACCGUUGGUCCAUGUCAUAUUGCACAGGUUGUGAGCCGAUGGACUAAAAUUCCGAUCGCUACACUUGGCCGAGAGGAAGAAAAGUUUAGCCACCUAGUAGACAGAUUGCAUGAGAGAGUCGUUGGACAGCAUGAAGCGGUUAAUUUGGUCGUGCAAGAAGUGUUGCGUUCUAGGGUCGGCUUUGAUCAAUCUAGCCAACCAAUCGGUUCUUUUCUAUUUUUGGGGCCGACUGGUGUUGGGAAGACAGAGCUUGCGAAAGCACUUGCCGAGAAGCUGUUUGACAAUGAGAAGAUGUUGGUCCGCUUUGACAUGUCUGAAUAUGCCGACAGUGGUUCUGUGCAGCGUCUCAUUGGAGGAUCUCGAAGCUAUGAAGAAGAUGGACAGCUUACUGAUAAAGUAAGGAGCCAACCAUAUAGCGUUGUUCUUUUUGACGAGGCGGAUAAGACGCAUCCCUCGAUAUUCAAGGUUCUCAUUCAACUCCUCGAUGAUGGCGUGUUGAUUGAUGGAAAAGGACGGAGCGUAUAUUUCAAGAAUACUAUCAUCAUCAUGAGCUCAAAUCUAGGAGCAGAGAACCUGUCAGCUGGAAUGGCCGCAGAAAACAUGGAAACUGCACGGGAUCUUCUUAUGGAAAAGGUUGAGAAACGCUUUAAGCCUGAAUAUAUCAACAAACUGAGUGAGACUGUGAUAUUUGAGCCGCUUUCGCAUGACGAACUGAGGGAGAUUGUGAAAAUCCAGAUGAAGAGUGUUGUUGCUAUGGCAGCUAACAAGGGCAUCUCUCUGUUUGCAUCAGAUGCCGCCUUGGACCUCAUUUGGUCAGAGUCGCACGACACGGUGUAUGGCGCAAGGCCUAUUAAGAGGUGGAUGAAGAAGAAUGUGACGAGAGUUCUCGUGGACAAGCUGGUCAAUGGAGAAGCAUGCCAAGGAUCGACCGUCUCCAUCGAUGCCGUCGAUGAUAGGAAGGGGCUGAAAUACCACGUACUGAAGUAG